UACGUAGGGGCUAGCGUUGUCCGGAUUUAUUGGGCGUAAAGAGCGUGUAGGCGGCCAGGUAGGUCUGGUGUGAAAACGUCGAGGCUUAACCUCGAGAUGUCAUCGGAAACCAUCUGGCUAGAGUCCGGAAGAGGAGAGUGGAAUUCCUGGAUGUAGCGGUGAAAUGCGCAGAUAUCAGGAAGAACACCAAUGCGAAAGCAGCUCUCUGGGACGGUACUGACGCUGAGACGCGAAAGCGUGGGGAGCGAACAGG
rnacentral:rRNA from 1 species